GCCGAAGUGGCGGAAUGGUAGACGCAGCGGACUCAAAAUCCGCCGGUAGCGAUAUCGUGUGGGUUCGAGUCCCACCUUCGGCACCA
rnacentral:tRNA from 4 species